GUGAAUCAUCGAAUUUUUGAACGCAAAUUGCACUUUCUGGUAUUCCGGAAAGUAUGCCUGUUUGAGGGUCAGUUAAAUAAAAAUCGGUGUUGUUGCUGUUAUUGGUGAUGCAGCGGAGUAGUGGAGUCGUCUUAUUUUCGGUUAAGUGACUUAAAAUUUUGUAUGAUUUUUGAACGUAUUUAAAUUACUUACGUACGCUUAUGAUAUCUAAUACUAUGUGCGGUCAGGUACAUGUCAUGGUGCGUA
rnacentral:misc_RNA from 1 species